rnacentral:miRNA from 1 species
ACGUUUAACUCGCAGCGGGCG